GUGUAUGUGUGUGUCAAUCAGUAUGUCUGUCAGUGUAUGUGUCUGUGUGUGUAUGUAUGUAUGUCUGUGUGUGUGUGUGUGUGUGUGUGUCAGUAUGUCUGCCAGGAUAUAUUUGUAUGUCAGUGUAUGUGUGUGUCAGUAUAUAUCUGUGAAUGUUUAAUGUCUGUCUGUAUCAGCCAUUACGUCUGUCUGUGUAUAUGUCAGUAUGCCUGUGUGUGUGUGUGU